CAUCACUGAACAAAGCUCAAAGAAUCCACAUCCAAACCACAGUUCCUGACCACAAUGCAAUUACCUUAGAAAUCAAUAAUAGUUCAUAGCUAAAAAUAGUAGCUUGAUCAGAGGAUAACAGCUCGGAGGAAGGAUGUGUGAGGUUAAACCAAGAAGUAGAGCUGGGCAAGAGAAAGGAGGAGGGAUUCUAUAGAUGUUUCUAAUAUCGGCAAAGAAGGAGUUGAAGACAUCACCAAAGUUUAUUGCUCAGGCAACCCGAGGUUGGCACAGCCAUUAAUCAAUAGCAAGGGAGAGCUGAAACAGAAGAGGUUUGAGGGGAGAAGAUAAAGUAUUGUCAGGACUGCAAGGAGACGAGGCGGGAUGAAGGUUUGAAAACAGAACAUCAGCACUGACUUCAGUGAGCAAUUUCAUUAGUGAACAGAGCAGAGAGGUCUGAAUCCAGGCCGCAACGGUUUGAAGAAUGAAUAAGAGGGGAGGCAAGCAAGUCAGAAAGUGUGGAUCUCUCUUCUAAAAAAUGUAAUAAGGAAAGAAAAGAGGAUACCAAAGGAAGAAAGGAUUCACUGUCUGUUUUUGCAUAUAGUUUUGAAUGGGAAGGACAAAUGGGAAGACCAAAGGAGGAUGGUUGUGAGCAUAGCCCCCAGAGGGGGUCCAGGAUCACCUCCAAAGCUUUCCUGCCAUCCCUGCUGCUCACAGUCCACUCUGCCCUUAAACUCGUGAGUGGCUUUGGGGCUGGAGGGGUAUAGCCAUCCGUCCUCCACCAUUACCAUAUUCCAUUGCCAACCCCCUCCCCUUCAACGGACCUCUGCCAUUUCUAGGUCUCAGCUCCUGGGGUCAUGACAACACUCAUGACAACAGCUCCCCUGUUUCAGGUGCCACUGGGCUCCGCUGCAAGGUUUGGGCGCACUAUCCGCAACUUGAGUUUGAGCAUCAUGAAGAGGUCCGGUUUCCAGGCCAGUGAACAGGAAGCUGCUUCCAUGGCAUCUUCUGCUUAGCUGAGAGGUAUUUGCAUGGUGAAGCCUGGGGUUGUAAGGCUUUCGGCCCAUGUUUGUGCCUCUCAAGAAGCACCUGUUUUUCUCCAUCUAUUCGUUCAACAAUUUUAUUGAGUGCCUGAUAUGUGUCACAUCUUGCCUUCACUUCUUACCCUGCCAACCACCUGAGCCCAGUCUUGAUCCUCCAUCUCCUGGCGUCUUGGAGUGGGAUCCCUGACCCAGCCAACAUCUCCCAGAGCCACAUAAGGAGUAUUUUUGGGUGUCCUGCAUCUUCUUUUUGUGUUCCUGUAUGAGAAGUGGCCUGUCUCACAGAGGAUUCACAGACAAAGAGAGUCCUGUCCUUCACAGAUGAGGACAGUGCUGCUGAAGGACCUGAUUCCGAGACAAGGGCCCAUCCUCAGCAGGAAGAGCAAAUAGAUGGUUCAAAAGGAGGAGGCUCAAGCUCAAGCCAUCUGACUCCUUGGCCACCCCCACUUAGCCCCAUGGAUGGGGUACUGUCCAGAAAGAUUAUCCUUUGUAUCGUGUUGAAUCCAAGAUUAGCUCCUGCAUCACUUUCAUUGUAGCAGUUGCUGUUCUGUUGUUGUUGGCACUCGCAUUUCUCCCCCAGAACUAAAACCCUGCUUUGACUGGGAAGUGACCUGAUUUUCAGGUGCUCCCUGACAUGCAUCUGCUGAAUGACACCUUCAAUCUCUACUUGAGUCCGUUCCGUUGUUUCCUUCAGAUGACCUAAUAGAAGUCAUAAUGCCAGACCCGAGGCAUGCAAAGAUUCCAGGUGGCAAUGUGGAGCAGCCCAUCUCUGGGAGGAUAAGCCUCCGCAGCACAUGUGAACACACCAAGUAGAAGGACCACGGUGUGCUGGGGCCGUCGGGCCAAGCUCUCGGAGAAGAGACUAGAGUGAAAGUGUGUUCACGGGGACAUCUGGGAGGUUCCUUGAACGAGACAGACCAAGGAGCAAAACCACGUUGCCCGCCCUUCGCCCCCUCCUCCCUGGAGCGCCGAUGGAGUGCGGGUGGUCUGCAGCGCACG